rnacentral:rRNA from 1 species
CCUACGGGGGGCAGCAGUGAGGAAUAUUGGUCAAUGGGCGAGAGCCUGAACCAGCCAAGUCGCGUGAGGGAGUACUGCCCUAUGGGUUGUAAACCUCUUUUGUCGGGGAGCAAAAGCCGGACGUGUCCGGCUGUGAGAGUACCCGAAGAAAAAGCAUCGGCUAACUCCGUGCCAGCAGCCGCGGUAAUACGGAGGAUGCGAGCGUUAUCCGGAUUUAUUGGGUUUAAAGGGUGCGCAGGCGGAUUUUUAAGUCAGCGGUAAAAUCGUGGGGCUCAACCCCAUCCAGCCGUUGAAACUGGGGAUCUAGAGUGUGUGAGAGGUAUGCGGAAUGCGUGGUGUAGCGGUGAAAUGCAUAGAUAUCACGCAGAACCCCGAUUGCGAAGGCAGCAUACCGGUGCACAACUGACGCUCAGGCACGAAAGCGUGGGUAUCGAACAGGAUUAGAUACCCUGGUAGUC